rnacentral:rRNA from 1 species
AUUGAACGCUGGCGGCAGGCCUAACACAUGCAAGUCGAGCGGAUGAAGGGAGCUUGCUCCUGGAUUCAGCGGCGGACGGGUGAGUAAUGCCUAGGAAUCUGCCUUGUCGUGGGGGAUAACGUCCGGAAACGGGCGCUAAUACCGCAUACGUCCUGAUGGUGAACGUGGGGGAUCUUCGGACCUCACGCUAUCAGAUGAGCCUAGGUCGGAUUAGCUAGUUGGUGGGGUAAAGGCCUACCAAGGCGACGAUCCGUAACUGGUCUGAGAGGAUGAUCAGUCACACUGGAACUGAGACACGGUCCAGACUCCUACGGGAGGCAGCAGUGGGGAAUAUUGGACAAUGGGCGAAAGCCUGAUCCAGCCAUGCCGCGUGUGUGAAGAAGGUCUUCGGAUUGUAAAGCACUGUAAGUUGGGAGGAAGGACAGUAAGUUAAUACCUGGCUGUUUUGACGGUACCAACAGAAUAAGCACCGGCUAACUUCGUG